GAUGAACGCUGGCGGCGUGCCUAAUACAUGCAAGUCGAGCGAACGGACGAGAAGCUUGCUUCUCUGAUGUUAGCGGCGGACGGGUGAGUAACACGUGGAUAACCUACCUAUAAGACUGGGAUAACUUCGGGAAACCGGAGCUAAUACCGGAUAAUAUUUUGAACCGCAUGGUUCAAAAGUGAAAGACGGUCUUGCUGUCACUUAUAGAUGGAUCCGCGCUGCAUUAGCUAGUUGGUAAGGUAACGGCUUACCAAGGCAACGAUGCAUAGCCUACCUGAGAGGGUGAUCGGCCACACUGGAACUGAGACACGGUCCAGACUCCUACGGGAGGCAGCAGUAGGGAAUCUUCCGCAAUGGGCAAAAGCCUGACGGAGCAACGCCGCGUGAGUGAUGAAGGUCUUCGGAUCGUAAAACUCUGCUAUUAGGGAAGAACAUAUGUGUAAGUAACUGUGCACAUCUUGACGGUACCUAAUCAGAAAGCCACGGCUAACUACGUG
rnacentral:rRNA from 1 species